rnacentral:lncRNA from 1 species
UGUUAUGUUAAAUAGUUACUUGUGAGUUUUUUUUUAAUUUCUUAUCUCAUUUCUAAAAAAGAAAUACUCUUUGCACUGAUUCAAUACUGCAUAUGUUUUUUUUUUCAUUUCAGGACAAUUGUGAAAUUUUCUAGAUCAUAACCUGUAACUGUGAAAAGUAAGAACUCGUCAAAGACGCCAUUUUGAACUGUAUCGGCCAUUUUUAUUUCAUAGUUAAUGUCACCUGUUACAUUAAAUAAUAAUAUGUUUGUAUUUACGUGCUUGUAUUGAAAUAAAUGAUCCAUUAUUUUUUAAUAAUUUUUAAACCAUAUUUAAAAACAUACGUCAAAUUUUGACUUGUUAAACGGCGCCAUUUUGAAUAUUGCCGCCAUUUUGAAAAUAUUAUCUAUGCACCCAGGCAUUAAUGAUACAUUGUAGGCCUUUGUCGAUAUCAAAUGAUCAGUUUCACGGAUUUGGUAACUUUCUAUCACACAAUAAUGGUGUACAUAUACGAAUACUGUCAAACUUAGACAUUUUUACGCGCCAUUUUGAAUUUGGAUGCCAUUUUGAUGAUUUCUGUAUUAUAAGGUUUAAAAAAAUAAUAAUUGACAUAUCUUAAUUGUAUUUCCUUAAGUUUGUGACAUCUUCUGAACUCAUUAAAAUUGGAAGACUUCAUCAAGUGAAUUAUGUCAUACUAAUGUCGGCCAUCUUGAAUUUGGCGGCCAUAUUGGAUUUUUUUUUCGUGGCUCCAUAUCUGAAUUUUGUCUAUACCCCUUAAUCUUUCACUAUGCUAAGUUUCAUGCUUUUACCAUAAAGUGAUAAAAUAUU